GGCUUGACAAAUUCUUAUAUUACACGGUAGGCAAAGGUGCAAAAGGUAUCAUAAAGACAAGGCAUAUUAAACCAAAUGCCAUAACCUCUCGUUAACAUCAGUGCUAUGUAUAUAUAUAUCAACACCUCUCAACUAGAAGAACACUAAACCAAUUUUACACACCGAUCCCCCUAUCCUCAUCCAAUCUAAAUACUUUGAAGCACCUGCCACACUUGCUGCUCAUGGGAACAGAAUUUUUUCCUUUCUUUUUCUUUUCUUUUUUUUUU
rnacentral:misc_RNA from 1 species